AGAAUUUUAGUAUUGGAAUACACUAUAGCGUGCGACUUAAGGAAUUAGAUAUUUGACACAUUCUCUGUUGACUCAUGUAUGUUUACGAUAGAAACUGCCUUCAAACAGACAAGUGCCAAGCUUCUGUAGCUACACCUUAUCCUCUCCUCUGCCAUGUAAAUAUUUAAUCAGACAACCUCUGCCUCAAAACCUGUCACCAAAAUCUUUUUGCCUUAGUAGUAUUUAAAAAUUUCCAGUAACACCUUAACAUCCAUUCACUUUUCUCAAGCACAGAGGACAAGUUGCCCACUUACUUAGAAUAUCUACUUUGAUCCACAUUGCAAUCAAUCAUAGGAUCCAUUAUUGCCUCCCUGUGUGAUUUUACCAACUGGGUUUACAGUUUACCAAACUGAGACUGCAUGAUCAUAUUUCACUUUGUAUUUGUAAAUGUUUACUAAUAUUCAACUAAUAUGAACUUGUGUUUAUGUUAUUGAAAUCCUCUGUGCAUGCUCAUAUUAUACUUAAGUGUGUGUACACUUUCACACGCAGUAUAGAUAAGAGGAAUACUUUGAACACUGUUCACACAACCGAACACAGAUGAGUUUGGAAAGAUCCUCUGGGCUUUUGCUCAGCCUAAUUAACACUCAUUUUCCUUACUUUUCUAUAUUAUAUUUUGCAUUUAAUUUCAUUAGUAAUUUGUAAUAUACCACACAAUAUCUCACUUAUCUAGAACUUCCUUUUCUGAUGACUUCAAGUAUCUAAAAUGUAACAAAAAAAUUAAGUUAAACAGUGUCUUCUGAAUAACCGACAUAGAUGCCACAAAAUUACUUUUACUCUAGAAAUAAUCUUAACAAGUUGGGUUAUCUGAUUUCUGGAACUAUAAUGAGAAGGCUGCUACUGAGGCAAGUCCAACAGUCUCAAGAAGUGAUAGCUGACAGAGAAGGAGGAUGUAGAAAAAACAUUAAACUAUAAAAAAACCCAGGUAUAUAGGUACUAUAAAAUUUUAGUAGUUUGGAGCUACUGAGUUUGGGCAAGUAGCUUUGUGAGCCGUAUUAGCCUGUGAAAUCAUAGCAAU
rnacentral:lncRNA from 10 species